rnacentral:tRNA from 1 species
GCCUGAGUGGCUCAGUGGGUUGAGCAUCUGCCUUUGGCUCAGGACACGAUCCCGGAUUCCUGGGAUCGAGACCCACCUCAGGCU